rnacentral:rRNA from 1 species
GACGAACGCUGGCGGCGUGCCUAAUACAUGCAAGUAGAACGCAGUGGGGACGGGUGAGUAACACGUGGGUAACCUCCCAUCAGAGGGGAUAACACUUUGAAACAGGUGCUAAACCGAUACUGAUGGAUGGACCCGCGGGGCAUUAGCUAGUUGGUGAGGUAACGGCUCACCAAGGCCACGAGGCAUAGGCGACCUGGUAGGUGUAUCGGCCACACUGGUAUUGAGACCCGGCCCUGACUCCUUCGGGAUGCAGAAGUAGGGAAUCUUCGGCCAUGGACGAAAGUCUGUCCGAGCACCGCCGCGUGAGUGAAGAAGGUUUUCGGAUCGUAAAACUCUGUUGUUAGAGAAGCGGUAUCUAACCGGAAAGCCAGGGCUAACUACGUGCCAGCAGCCGCGGUAAUAC